rnacentral:misc_RNA from 1 species
GAUGAAGAACGUAGCGAAAUGCGAUAAGUAAUGUGAAUUGCAGAAUUCAGUGAAUCAUCGAAUCUUUGAACGCACAUUGCGCCCGCCAGCAUUCUGGCGGGCAUGCCUGUUCGAGCGUCAUUUCAACCCUCGAGCCCCCCCGGGGGCCUCGGGGUUGGGGGACGGCACACCAGCCGCCCCCGAAAUGCAGUGGCGACCCCGCCGCAGCCUCCCCUGCGUAGUAGCACACACCUCGCACCGGAGCGCGGAGGCGGUCACGCCGUAAAACGCCCAACUUUCUUAGAGUUGACCUCGGAUCAGGUAGGAAUACCCGCUGAACUUAAGCAUAUCAAUAAGCGGAGGA